GGGGGAAAGACAGGAGGGCUCCGCGCCAGCGGCGCAAAGAACCUCCUCCCGCUGUCGCUACCUGCUGAUGAAGCCAUCCCCAUCGCCGUCGCAAGUCUGGAAGAGGCGCCUCAUCCUCUCCUCCUCGCCGGUACUGGAGGCCCAGCUCCCCGCUUCUGGAGUGCGCCAGCCUCGUCGGAUGUUGGUUGGCCGGUGGGAGCCAAGCCCAGCCAACCAAUGUGGAUGUUACCAGAUUAUAUUGCCCUGCCUCUGAGGCCUCCUGCUACACUUGUCCUGAAACCCUUCAUGAAGACAUGAUCUGGCAGUGAAUGAGAAAAAAACAGUGUAACUUGUAAACACAUGGCAGUGAACAAAAGAAUUGGUUCCAUGUACCCCUAACAGAGGCAUGUGGUUAGCUGGGUUUUCUAGAGUUAAUAAGAUAUAAACUUUGAUUAAAAUUUAUCCUGGACAUGA